rnacentral:tmRNA from 1 species
GGGGCCGAUUAGGAUUCGACGCCGGUGAUGAAACUCGAGGGGCAUGCCGAGUUGGUAACAGAACUCGUAAAUCCACUGUUGCAAAAUCCAUAAUUGCCAAUGACGACAAUUACGGUGCGCAACUAGCUGCGUAAGCAGCCAAGUGCCACUUCUGGUAGCUUCGGCUCCAGCAAUCAUCAGGGGAUGUCUGUAAACCCGAAAUGAUUGUCAGAUAGAACAGAAUCGCCGUGCAGUACGUUGUGGACGAAGCGGCUAAACAUUACACAACUCGCCCAAAGCACCCUGCCCGUCGGGCGGCCAAGGGUUAACUCAGUAGACACGGCUAAGCAUGUAGAACCGACAGCGGAGUACUGGCGGACGGGGGUUCAAAUCCCCCCGGCUCCACCA